rnacentral:rRNA from 1 species
UACGUAGGGGGCAAGCGUUGUCCGGAUUUAUUGGGCGUAAAGCGCACGUAGGCGGUUCGUUAUGUCGGAUGUGAAAGCCCUUGGCUUAACCGAGGAAGUGCAUCCGAAACUGGCGAGCUAGAGUACGAAAGAGGAUCGCGGAAUUCCCGGUGUAGCGGUGAAAUGCGUAGAGAUCGGGAGGAACACCAGUGGCGAAGGCGGCUACCUGGACCAGCACUGACACUGAGGCACGAAAGCGUGGGGAGCAAACAGG